UUCAAACAGUCUCAGAAGAGUAUAGAUGAAGUCAUAACUUCUGCAGAUUCAAUCAAGUGUGACAGGAAUGUUACUUGCAAACUAUUUGUCCUUUGUUCACUCACUAUUUACUGAGCCAGGCACUGUGUUCUCUGCUGGGAAUGUGGAGAGACAUGGGAAUCAGCCCUUGCCCUCAAGAUAUUUGGGGAAAAGCAUAGAAACAGACAACGCUAAAGCAACAAGGUACAAUCAGCAGCUUGGGAGUAGGAGUGGAAAUGCCAAGUGGUUCGUCUGACCCAGGCUCAGGAUGAUGGGAGAUUGGUGGACUAAGCAGGAAAACUGAGAAGCUCCACCUGGAAGUUCCACCUGAGGAUGUUCUGCGUCUUGUGUGCCAGGCUCCUGGACAGAGGUCGUGCAGACCCUGCCAGCUUGAUAUAGAAGUCGGGGCUGAUGAGGUGAAGACCUGAAGAAGGCUGUGGAACCU